AGUGGCGAACGGGUGAGUAAUAUAUCGGAACGUACCCAAGAGUGGGGGAUAACGUAGCGAAAGUUACGCUAAUACCGCAUACGAUCUAAGGAUGAAAGCAGGGGAUCUUCGGACCUUGUGCUCCUGGAGCGGCCGAUAUCUGAUUAGCUAGUUGGUGAGGUAAAGGCUCACCAAGGCCACGAUCAGUAGCUGGUCUGAGAGGACGACCAGCCACACUGGAACUGAGACACGGUCCAGACUCCUACGGGAGGCAGCAGUGGGGAAUUUUGGACAAUGGGCGAAAGCCUGAUCCAGCAAUGCCGCGUGAGUGAAGAAGGCCUUCGGGUUGUAAAGCUCUUUUGUCAGGGAAGAAACGGUUAGGGCUAAUAUCCCUCGCUAAUGACGGUACCUGAAGAAUAAGCACCGGCUAACUACGUGCCAGCAGCCGCGGUAAUACGUAGGGUGCAAGCGUUAAUCGGAAUUACUGGGCGUAAAGCGUGCGCAGGCGGUUUUGUAAGUCUGACGUGAAAUCCCCGGGCUCAACCUGGGAAUUGCGUUGGAGACUGCAAGGCUAGAAUCUGGCAGAGGGGGGUAGAAUUCCACGUGUAGCAGUGAAAUGCGUAGAGAUGUGGAGGAACACCGAUGGCGAAGGCAGCCCCCUGGGUCAAGAUUGACGCUCAUGCACGAAAGCGUGGGGAGCAAACAGGAUUAGAUACCCUGGUAGUCCACGCCCUAAACGAUGUCUACUAGUUGUCGGGUUUUAAUUAACUUGGUAACGCAGCUAACGCGUGAAGUAGACCGCCUGGGGAGUACGGUCGCAAGAUUAAAACUCAAAGGAAUUGACGGGGACCCGCACAAGCGGUGGAUGAUGUGGAUUAAUUCGAUGCNACGCGAAAAACCUUACCUACCCUUGACAU
rnacentral:rRNA from 1 species